GAUGAACGCUGGCGGCGUGCUUAACACAUGCAAGUCGAACGGAAAGGCCCAAGCUUGCUUGGGUACUCGAGUGGCGAACGGGUGAGUAACACGUGGGUGAUCUGCCCUGCACUUCGGGAUAAGCCUGGGAAACUGGGGCUAAUACCGGAUAGGAGCACAUUUUGGAUGGUGUGGUGGAAAGUUUUUCGGUGUGGGGUGAGCUCGCGGCCUAUCAGCUUGUUGGUGGGGUAAUGGCCUACCAAGGCGUCGACGGGUAGCCGGCCUGGGGGGGGGUACGGCCACAUUGGGGCUGAGAUCAGGCCCAGACUCCUACGGGGGGCAGCAGGGGGGAAUAUUGCCCAAUGGGCGCGAGCCUGAUGCAGCGACGCCGCGUGGGGGAAGACGGCCUUCGGGUUGUAAACUCCUUUCGCUAGGGACGAAGCGUUAUGUGACGGUAACUGGAGAAGAAGCACCGGCUAACUACGUG
rnacentral:rRNA from 1 species